GAGGCAGUUAAGCUCUGGAGAGCAGAGAUCACUCCAGAACAACAACACAACCAUGUUCUCCACACCUCUUCUACUCCUGCUGGCAGCUGCAUCCUAUGUGCAUGGUGAAGAACUGACUCAGCCUGCUUCCAUGACAGUGCAGCCAGGCCAGAGUCUGUCCAUCAACUGCAAAGUCUCAUAUUCAGUUACUAGCUGGAGCACAGCUUGGAUCCGACAACCUGCAGGAAAAGCCCUAGAGUGGAUUGGGUAUAUCUAUAGUGGUGGGAGUACAUCUUACAGUGAUAAAUUAAAAAACAAGUUCAGCAUCUCUAGAGACACUGGCAGUAACACGAUAACAUUACAAGGACAGAAUCUGCAAACUGAAGACACAGCUGUAUAUUACUGUGCAAGAGACUCACAGUAA